rnacentral:rRNA from 1 species
AUUGAACGCUGGCGGCAGGCUUAACACAUGCAAGUCGAGCGAGCGGCGGACGGGUGAGUAAUGUAUCGGAAAGUGCCUGGUGGAGGGGGAUAACUACUGGAAACGGUAGCUAAUACCGAAUACAAUCAGAUGUGCCCAGAUGGGAUUAGCUAGUAGGUGGGGUAAUGGCUCACCAAGGCGACGAUCCCUAGCUGGUUUGAGAGGAUGACCAGCCACACUGGGACUGAGAAACGGCCCAGACUCCUACGGGAGGCAGCAGUGGGGAAUUUUGGACAAUGGGGGAAACCCUGAUCCAGCCAUGCCGCGUGUAUGAUGAAGGCCUUCGGGUUGUGAAGUACUUUUGGCGGAGAGGCGGUAUUCGCAGAAUAAGCACCGGCUAACUCCGUGCCAGCAGCCGCGGUAAUAC